rnacentral:rRNA from 1 species
AGUGGCGGACGGGUGAGUAACGCGUGAGGAACCUGCCUUGAAGAGGGGGACAACAGUUGGAAACGACUGCUAAUACCGCAUGACGCAUAGAGGUCGCAUGAUCUUUAUGCCAAAGAUUUAUCGCUUCAAGAUGGCCUCGCGUCUGAUUAGCUGGUUGGCGGGGUAACGGCCCACCAAGGCGACGAUCAGUAGCCGGACUGAGAGGUUGAACGGCCACAUUGGGACUGAGACACGGCCCAGACUCCUACGGGAGGCAGCAGUGGGGAAUAUUGCACAAUGGGGGAAACCCUGAUGCAGCGACGCCGCGUGGAGGAAGAAGGUCUUCGGAUUGUAAACUCCUGUUGUUGAGGAAGAUAAUGACGGUACUCAACAAGGAAGUGACGGCUAACUACGUGCCAGCAGCCGCGGUAAAACGUAGGUCACAAGCGUUGUCCGGAAUUACUGGGUGUAAAGGGAGCGCAGGCGGGAAGACAAGUUGGAAGUGAAAUCCAUGGGCUCAACCCAUGAACUGCUUUCAAAACUGUUUUUCUUGAGUAGUGCAGAGGUAGGCGGAAUUCCCGGUGUAGCGGUGGAAUGCGUAGAUAUCGGGAGGAACACCAGUGGCGAAGGCGGCCUACUGGGCACCAACUGACGCUGAGGCUCGAAAGUGUGGGUAGCAAACAGGAUUAGAUACCCUGGUAGUCCACACUGUAAACGAUGAUUAAUAGGUGUUGGAGGAAUGACCCCUUCCGUGCCGCAGUUAAACACAAUAAGUAAUCCACCUGGGGAGUGCGACCGCAAGGUUGAAACUCAAAGGAAUUGACGGGGGCCCGCACAAGCAGUGGAGUAUGUGGUUUAAUUCGACGCAACGCGAAGAACCUUACCUAGACUUGACAUCUCCUGAAUUACCCGUAACUGGGGAAGUCGCUUCGGCGACAGGAAGACAGGUGGUGCAUGGUUGUCGUCAGCUCGUGUCGUGAGAUGUUGGGUUAAGUCCCGCAACGAGCGCAACCCCUAUUGUUAGUUGCUACCAUUAAGUUGAGCACUCUAGCGAGACUGCCCGGGUUAACCGGGAGGAAGGUGGGGAUGACGUCAAAUCAUCAUGCCCCUUAUGUCUAGGGCUACACACGUGCUACAAUGGCAAGUACAAAGAGAAGCAAGACCGCGAGGUGGAGCAAAACUCAAAAACUUGUCUCAGUUCGGAUUGUAGGCUGAAACUCGCCUACAUGAAGCUGGAGUUGCUAGUAAUCGCGAAUCAGCAUGUCGCGGUGAAUACGUUCCCGGCCCUUGCACUCACCGCCCGUCA